rnacentral:rRNA from 1 species
UACGGAGGGGGCUAGCGUUGUUCGGAAUUACUGGGCGUAAAGGGCGCGUAGGCGGUUCAUCAAGUCGGGCGUGAAAGGCCUGGGCUCAACCCGGGAAUGGCGCUCGAGACUGGUGGGCUUGGAGUCCGGGAGAGGAUGGUGGAAUUCCCAGUGUAGAGGUGAAAUUCGUAGAUGUUGGGAAGAACACCGGUGGCGAAGGCGGCCAUCUGGACCGGUACUGACGCUGAGGCGCGAAAGCGUGGGGAGCAAACAGG